UUGAUAUACUGUUGGAGGUUCUGGCCUACAAGCAAUUUCUCUAAUCUUGAUUUAGUUGUACAGCACUAAAUGCCCAUAGUGAAAUAUCUAAGUGAUUCAAAUAUGUGUGGACAUUAUCUGAAUGUAAGGGUGUAGCAUUUGUUUUGAAAACUGAAACUGCAGUUUUUAUCUAACUUAAAUGUGUAUUAACUAGUAAAUGCCUAGAUGUAUUUUUUUCAGCUGCCCACUAUCCUUACUUUGUUACUGUCAAAGAAACUGGUUGAUUUUUCCUCUUCAGAAAGGCAUUUGUUUUAACCUUAAAAUUUGUUGAAUGGAUUUCUAGGA
rnacentral:misc_RNA from 1 species